CAGUCGCCGCGGUAAUACGAAGGGUGCAAGCGUUACUCGGAGUUACCGGGCGUAAAGCGUGCGUAGGUGGUGGUUUAAGUCCGUUGUGAAAGCCCUGGGCUCAACCUGGGAGUUGCAGUGGAUACUGGGUCACUAGAGUGUGGUAGAGGAUAGUGGAAUUUCCGGUGUAGCAGUGAAAUGCGUAGAGAUCGGAAGGAACAUCUGUGGCGAAGGCGACUAUCUGGGCCAACACUGACACUGAGGCACGAAAGCGUGGGGAGCAAACAGGAUUAGAUACCCCCGUAGUCCCUGUCUCUUAUAC
rnacentral:rRNA from 1 species